AUUGAACGCUGGCGGCAUGCCUUACACAUGCAAGUCGAACGGUAACAGGUCUUCGGAUGCUGACGAGUGGCGCACGGGUGAGUAAUACAUCGGAACGUGCCCGAUCGUGGGGGAUAACGAGGCGAAAGCUUUGCUAAUACCGCAUACGAUCUACGGAUGAAAGCGGGGGAUCUUCGGACCUCGCGCGGACGGAGCGGCCGAUGGCAGAUUAGGUAGUUGGUGGGAUAAAAGCUUACCAAGCCGACGAUCUGUAGCUGGUCUGAGAGGAUGAUCAGCCACAGGGGGGUGGAGAAAGGGCCCAGCCUCCUACGGGAGGCAGCAGUGGGGAAUGUGGGACAGGGGGGGAAAGCCUGACCCAGCCAUCCCGCGUGAGGGAUGAAGGCCUUUGGGUUGUAAAGUUCUUUUGUAGGGAAAAAAACGCCUUUUUCUAAUAAGGAGGGGUAAUGACGGUACCGAAAGAAUAAGCACCGGCUAACUACGUG
rnacentral:rRNA from 1 species